UACGUAGGGUGCAAGCGUUGUCCGGAAUUAUUGGGCGUAAAGAGCUCGUAGGUGGCGGGUCACGUCGGGUGUGAAAGCCCGGGGCUUAACCCCGGGUCUGCAUUCGAUACGGGUCUGCUGGGGUCCGGGCAGGGGAGACUGGAAUUCCUGGUGUAGCGGUGAAAUGCGCAGAUAUCAGGAGGAACACCGGUGGCGAAGGCGGGUCUCUGGGCCGGUACCGACGCUGAGGAGCGAAAGCGUGGGGAGCGAACAGG
rnacentral:rRNA from 1 species